rnacentral:rRNA from 1 species
AGUGAACGCUGGCGGUAGGCCUAACACAUGCAAGUCGAACGGCAGCACAGUAAGAGCUUGCUCUUACGGGUGGCGAGUGGAGGACGGGUGAGGAAUACAUCGGAAUCUACUUUUUCGUGGGGGAUAACGUAGGGAAACUUACGCUAAUACCGCAUACGACCUACGGGUGAAAGCAGGGGAGCUUCGGACCUUGCGCGAUUGAAUGAGCCGAUGUCGGGUUAGCUAGUUGGCGGGGUAAAGGCCCACCAAGGCGACGAUCCGUAGCUGGUCUGAGAGGAUGAUCAGCCACACUGGAACUGAGACACGGUCCAGAGUCCUGCGGGAGGGAGCAGUGGGGAAUAGGGGGCAAUGGGCGCGAGCCUGAUCCAACCGUAGCACGUGGGUGAAGAAGGCCUUCGGGUUGUAAAGCCCUUUUGUUGGGAAAGAAAAGCAGCAGGUUAAUACCACGCUGUUCUGACGGUACCCAAAGAAUAAGCACCGGCUAACUUCGUG